rnacentral:tRNA from 1 species
GCGGGGGUAGCAGAGCCAGGCCAAAUGCGCGGGACUCAAGAUCCCGUGGGGUAGCCCUACGUGGGUUCGAAUCCCACCCCCCGCACCA